GUGAGAUGGAAUCAAUGUUUGGACAUUCGAUUUUACGCUGAUUCCAUAUCACGA
rnacentral:pre_miRNA from 1 species